UACAGAGGUGGCAAGCGUUGUUCGGAAUUACUGGGCGUAAAGGGCGCGUAGGCGGCCUUCUAAGUCAGACGUGAAAUCCCCAGGCUUAACUUGGGAACUGCGUCUGAUACUGGGAGGCUUGAGUGCAGAAGGGGCAACUGGAAUUCUCGGUGUAGCGGUGAAAUGCGUAGAUAUCGAGAGGAACACCUGCGGCGAAGGCGGGUUGCUGGGCUGACACUGACGCUGAAGCGCGAAAGCUAGGGGAGCGAACGGG
rnacentral:rRNA from 1 species